AAACAUAAUUAUGAACUUGGAGAUAAAUAAUAUCAUUUAUUAUUGCCUCUAGGGCAUAUCUCCUACAGAAUACGCAAGAAAGCUUAUGAAGAUAUCAGUGCAUCAUCUCUUAUGCAACUGCUACUGCAAUUGACUCAUUUCCAAGCAUGGGUAAGAUCUUUUAACAAAUCUUAGCGACAUCUCUCUUAAAUUUACCGAGAUUUUAUGCAGUUGCUUUUCCCCUAAUAAGGUGCAUCAUGCUUGCUGUUGAAUUAUGCAGAAAGGCUACAUUCUAUUAAUUUCUUUUUCGCAUAGUCAGUAUUUUUUCAACACAUUUUGUAUCAACUGAUAACUUUAAAUCUUUGUGUCUUUCAUCAAAUCAAGCUUACUGUUGGAUUUGUGCAUGAAUAACUAAAAGCGCCAUGACAUUACGCAUAUCCUUCAUUCUAUCCAUUAAACUUAUUUAUGUAUCCAGUAUUAAUUUAGUAUGAUUUCUUGUAUAUUCAUCUUAGAUAGGGUGGUCUUUGAGUGGCUUUGGUCAUCCUAAAUUUUGUGUGGAUUCUUUUCCGAGUCCUAGUUAGCUUUGCGAAACAAUAAUUAUUAUAGUCCUUGAUCUGCACAUGCCCAAUUUCCUUAUAUUGUAUAGUUUCCCAUUCUAGAAUAGUAUCCUUUCUGCAUGGUGACAUUUUCAACUCAUGUUUAAUAUUAUGGGAACUAAGCAUAGGGUAGAGAAAUGGUUGCUUGCAUGCCAUCCAUGUCAUAGAGAAUGUCAAAUUCCCUCUCUCCAAUUCCUUACCAUGAACCUACCGCUUUAUUGAUCUGUUUUUAGCUUCUAGAUGUUCUGCAACUAUAUACACAAUAGAUACUCUUUGUCUAAACUCUAGUGGCACUCCAUGAGAAGUUGAGAUAAAUUGAGAAUGGGGCAAAAAAAAUCCGACCCUUCCUGCUCGCAGCGGUGAAUGCUAUGGCUCCCAUGGGUGGCUUUACCGCAGCUGUCGAGCCUUCAAAUUCUGAAGAUAACAAGCAGCUCGAAGGAGAAAACUAAUUUAGUACUGCCAAGACUCCUAUUUUUUUGUGUAUCUUUGUUCCAACUUUGCAUUGACGCUGUGUUCACUUAGACAAUAUUUAUAUGUUCCUUUGAUUUUUGCCCAAGAAAAUGAACAUUCUAAAAUCUUCGUAGGAAUAGGCUAUGCCCUUACAUUCUCUAUGGAGAAGUUGUUCACCCUUGAAUUCAAAAAUUUAUACCCGCAACAGUUGACAUGGUUUGAUUGAGACGUGCGUUGCACAUGCACACUUACUAGUAAGUGUGAAAGGAGUUGUGUUUGCAAUGUUCGGAUCAUCUUUUAGAGUGCUCAGAAACCACUCCCAUGAACAUUUGCAUUCUACUUCCACCCAGCCCAUUGCAAUGGGGAAAAUGCAGUCAUUAGGAUCAAUUCCAACAGCACUAAGGAGCACUUCUUUAAACCUUGUUUUCAUAUGACAACCAUCAAUGAAGAGAAUAUGCCUGCAACCCUUUAGCCAUCCUCUCUUACAUGCAUCAUAGGACCAAUAUAAUGUUUUCAAACAUUUUCUGCCCAUUGAAAAUUUGAUAUCUUUGGCAAGUGUAGUUGUUAGCAAGAAUGUAGACCCAGGGUUUUUGCUCCUUAGCUCAUGCCUGUAAUCCCAUAGCUGCUGAACUGCUCUUCCUCAUCACCAUGUAUCUCCUUAAGUGCUUGCUUUCUAGCCCUAGCAGCUUCCAUCUAUUAGGAGUAACAUUGAAUUCGUUUGUUAUUUUCCUUGAAAAUGUUCCAAUUGACAUCUUCUGGUCAUCUCUGUACUCAUCAAUGAAAAAUUGCACAAGAGUUUUGCUGUCAUAUCCUUUAACUUCCACUUCUUCUGGCACUUAUGCAAUGCAUUGUAGGCCUUGAUGAAAAAACCUCCAGUCCUAUUGUCAUUUCCAGCCUUAAGCACCCAUGGGCAACCACCCUGACAAACUGCCUCUAACCUGAUCUUGUCAUUCUUCGCCUUCUUGAUCUGCACUCUGUUAUUAUUGAAUAUGCCUCGAGAGCUUUCCUCAACUCAACCACAUCAGCAAAUACCAUACCUAAUUUAAAUACAGGGGAUUUCAUGUCCACCUUGGAAUUGAAAGCUUUGAAUUUGUAUUUCGGUUGAUCUUGUGCUUCAGUGGAGAGGUUCAGAUCUUCAUCUUCAAGUACAUAGUCAGGCUCAACCUCUACCUCCUCUUGCUUAGCCUCUUCAUCAACAUCAAAGUCAAUAUUGUCUUCAUAAAGAUCAUCAUCUCCAUCAUCUAUGUCAUAAUCACUGUCACUGAAUUCUAAAUAUGAGACCACAACAUUUCCAGUUUACAAAUUUGGCUAUGCACCAGCAACCAGCAAGUUUGGGUUAACACCACCAUUAAGCAGGUCUGACUCUGCACCACCUGUCAGCAAACUUGGGUCAGCACCAUCAUUAAGCAAAUCUGACUCUGCGCCAUCUGUCAGAAUAUCCUCUACUUCUGUCCCAUCAGCUGCAACCUCUGAAAAUGGAUCUUCAACAUUCACAGAAAUGAUGCUGUGAGUAGAUGCUGCAUUGCUUGCACCAACAAUUGAGUUGGCCAUUCUGACAGGACUUUCAGCAGAAGGCAUCUUCAAUAUCAAAUCUUCUCUGAAAUUGCUGAUGAAGUCUGCAUGGUCAACCAUAAUUGCAAGAACUUUGUGCCGAGCACUAGCUGUGAUCAAAUGUUGCAAAUCUUCAUCACCUCUAAUUCUCAACAACCCAUCUGAAAUUGUUUUCUCACGUAAGCACUAGUAAAUUAUGUGCUCAUUGGCAGGAUAUCCCAACCAUUUUAGGUGCUCUUCUAAGACUGCAUAUGAAAAUGUGCGAGCAUCAACAUAGUCAAGGACCUCUAAAGAAGAGUUAUAGUACUCUAGGGCACUGAUAGGUCCACAGAAAAGACCACCAUGUUCCAGUUCCUAGUGUAAAGAAAGGAGUGUGAACACCAUGUCCCAUUGCUGAAUCACACACUGCAUCCAAAAAGGGCAGAAAUUCAGAGCAAAAUUUAGUUAACUGCAUAUAACAAUGAAAUUCUAACACUGAACAUGAACUGCAGAAAUUCAGUUAACUGAAUAUAACACUGACCAGUUAACCACACAAAUUCAGUUAACUGAACUAUAAGCAACAACAUAAAUAUAAAGUGAUUGCAAAACACAUUAAGAUAAAUUACAUAUAGAAGCACCAUAGGAUUGAGUUAAUAGCCACUGGGCCACCUUCUUCAUCAAAAACCUAACUGAUAGUUCACUAUUAUAGCGAUAUAACACAACAUGCUUCGAAAUCCACCACUACAGGGACUGCAAGCGAAUCUACACAAAACAAUUGCCAAAUUCACAAAAGAAAUACCACAUAGGGUGCUUCCACGCAACAACACUAUCUUCAUGCCCGAAACCCAUACCUUUCUGCAGAAACCCUAGACUAAAUGCAUAGCUCAAAACCCUAGCUUGCUUUCAUGGUAAGAAUGUCACAUUGCAAGAUCAAAGCAUUACAGAACCAUGAAUCUGCCUCCAAAUCGCACGGAUCCACCGUACUAGCCUGUACUUGGCCGGGCGCAUAGCAGAAAAGGAACAGGGGAGAGGAGGUGCAGAGCAGAGGCCAGCUCACCAUAGUGUGGAGGGAAGACAGCAGGCGGCCGGACUAGGUGCGCGGAGGGAGGCGGCACUGGACCGCGAAGAGCUUCGGCGAGGCAGCCAUGGUUGCUGGCGUCAGCAACGACCGCGCGUCCCCCGACAGGAAGAAGAAUGGAGAAGGGGGAACAAGUGGGAGGAUAAGCUACAGGAGUUCUCCGACAUAAUAAAUUCAGGUGCUCCCCCGUGGCUGUCCAGCCUGUACUGCGGGUUGAUAACAAGGAAAGGCAGUGGGCUCUUUGCAAAAACGCGGGCGCUGACCGGCUCGGGCCCGAGGAGUCCACUUGUCGAGCUUUGAUUGAUCCAUGAUCAAAGUUUGCAUAUUGGCUGCAAGUUAUGAGACUGGUUAGGUCCAUUUUACAAGUUGUCUCUACUAUUAAAGGGGGAUCGAACUUCGUGAUGGUUCGACCUCCCCUCGUGGUUCGACCUCUCCAACCUCGUACGUAACUUGUGCCCGUGAAGGAAAAAUCGGACCUCCACACAACCCCUCCGUGCACGAUAGAAAAAAAGAAAAGAAAAUAAAACAACCCACACGCACGCACGUCCCAACUCCCAACUCCCACCCCGGUCCACCAGACCCCUCGCUAUCGAUCCCGUGUCUUGCAGAGAGGAAUCACCGCCGCCGGCCUCCUCCCAGAUUGGAGCGGUGGAUCUGCAUCUCUUCUCUUCAUCACCGAGUCCAUGAGGUGCUCGAUGUGGCAGGGGCGACGAACAGGAGUGCCGCAUCAAUAGCAGCGACGAACGACGGCCCAGGUAAUGCCAUCUCCUUACCCUCGCUCCACCGCAUCUUCUCACGCCAAUCAGUGGAUAUGCAACUGCGGCCCAGACUUGGUGGCCGAGCAGCAGCGACCUCGACGCGGCGCAUGCGUGGUAGCUGAUGCACGACACAGCGACCGCGACCAGGACGCGGUGGCGGGAGAACGACGACGGCUGACAAGACCUGGCGUGACGGCCAUGAAGAUAUCGACUCCGACGACUCGCCUCCGUUCAACAGCGCCCUGCUUUUCCGCAUCGCCUCCGUCAAGCAUCACCUUCUUUUCCGCGCGCACAGCACCUCGGUCACUAGUAAACCGCUGUAUCUCUGUACUCUGUUGGCGGUCUGGAUUUAGGAGCUCUGGGAUUUGGAGAAUGCACGGGCUGGAGCUGGGGAAUAGCUCGGGCUUCCUUCAGAAGACGAUAGGUCGUGUUUGGAUUUUUUUUCGAAGAAUUAAUUUGAUUUGGAUGAGACUAAUCAGUACGUCAUGUGGGCCUCCAAUCGAAAUUUGUGGUGGGAACUUUCCUUCCAUUCAUCUUCUAAUCAGAUUUUGAUAUUUGUGCCAUUGAUUUGAGUGCUGAUGAAGAGCUUUCUAUGGACGAAGAGUCAACAAUGCAUUGGCAUUUUCCAAGUCCAUUCCCUGCUUUUAACUAUUCAACUUUCUUCUCUUUUUUUGGAGAACUAACUUCUUUUCUUUGUGAAAAAACUAUUCACGAAUCAGAAUCAUCGAAUUCACGAACUGCUCAUCGAAUUCACGACCUGCUCAUCGAAUUCACCCCACCGAACUCGAUUCGUAGGCACUACCGAAUCGCAAAUCCCAAACCCGAAUUAGUGGACUACGAAUCCGGUAACUAUGGCAGGGACUGGCAAGUGGCAACAUACGCCUGGUGGCGUAAAGGACGACGGGUGGUGGUAGGGCUAUGGGCGGAGCCGGUAGACGGAGGAGGUUGCCUGUGGAAACCUGGCAUGUGGCGGCAUAAAGGUAUUAUGGUUUGAUGUUUGCUUUUUACCUAGAUGAAUAAUUAUAGCACUGAAUUUAUGAAUGUAGGCGUAAAGGACGACGGGUGGUGGUAGUGCUAUGGGAGGAGCAGGUAGGGGUAUGGCGGCAUAAAGGUAUUAUGGUUUGAUGUUUAUUUUUACCUAGAUGAAUACUUAUAUAUAGCACUGAAUUUAUGAAUGUAGAUUUAUAGUAUUGUGUUUUUGAUGUUUACUUAUUGUCGUAAUCUCAUGUAUAGGUUGUGUAGAAAUCACUCAAGUCUGCUUUUUUAUUGUGGAAGCUCGUUGUAUGUGUAAAAUUAUUUAUACUCUUGGUCUCGGCGCACGGAGCCUACAAGACGCCGAAUGUUCCUGCUGCUGCUUACCAAGCAGGAAAACACCAGAAUAAGUUCAACUUGGGGAAGAGCAUGAAGAUUGGCGAGAGGUGGGGUACCAGAAAGAGGCGACGUUAAAAUCGGUGCCAGUGACGACGACGGUGGACAUGAUGAGCUUGGCGACAGCGGCUGCCGCAACAUUGUUGUACUUGGAUCCCAUGCUAUCCGAGCUCGACAAUGCCAAUAGCUCAGUCCUUUUGCGUGUUCAUUGACAAGUUGUCCGUACAGUACCUUUGCGUCAACAACCACGACCAUGAUGACGGAGUCGUGCUGGCCGACUGCCCUGCUUCCAUGCGCCGAGCAGUCUACUGGUUUGAGAUGACCGUGAGGACUGUUGGGCUCAAGGGGUUGAAUUGGGUUCACCACAUGUAGGGUGGCAACCUGGGUCAGCUAACUUUUGUUGGCCCUUUCUGCUAUUUGGUAUCUCUAGCCUGGUUUUAGUGCUCUGACAGCACUUAGCAAUGCUAAACUUGAGACCAAAAGGAGUUGUAAGAAGUGUUCCUUAGAAAUUGUACACUAAACUGCUUGCACGUUUUCAUGCAUG